UACGAAGGGGGCUAGCGUUGCUCGGAAUCACUGGGCGUAAAGGGUGCGUAGGCGGGAUCUUAAGUCAGAGGUGAAAGCCUGGAGCUCAACUCCAGAACUGCCUUUGAUACUGGGAUUCUUGAGUUCGGAAGAGGUGAGUGGAACUGCGAGUGUAGAGGUGAAAUUCGUAGAUAUUCGCAAGAACACCAGUGGCGAAGGCGGCUCACUGGUCCGAUACUGACGCUGAGGCACGGAAAGCGUGGGGAGCGAACAGG
rnacentral:rRNA from 1 species